UACGGAGGGGGCUAGCGUUGUUCGGAAUUACUGGGCGUAAAGGGCGCGCAGGCGGCUGCUCAAGUCAGGCGUGAAAGGCCUGGGCUCAACCCGGGAAUUGCGCUUGAGACUGGGCUGGCUUGAGUGCGGGAGAGGAUGGUGGAAUUCUCAGUGUAGAGGUGAAAUUCGUAGAUAUUGGGAAGAACACCAGUGGCGAAGGCAGCUCGCUGGGACGGUACUGACGCUGAGACGCGAAAGCGUGGGGAGCAAACAGG
rnacentral:rRNA from 1 species